CACAGAGAGGUUUUUGUACCAACAGUAGUAGGGAUUGUAUCACUGUGGUGGACUUUUGGUAGCGGCACCAGACUAGAUGUUGGAAGUAACAGUGCCCCCACCCUCACCGUCCUGCCCCCCUCUAGUGAGGAGCUGUCCAGUACAGCAACAGCCACACUGACAUGUCUGGCCAACAAGGGCUUCCCCUCAGACUGGACUAUGAGCUGGAAAGUGGAUGGGACCAGAAAGGGGCAGGAGGCCAAUCCCGGGGUCCUGGAGAAGGACGGUCUGUACAGCUGGAGCAGCACCCUGACUCUCACUGCCCAGGAGUGGACCAAGGCAGGAGAGGUGACCUGUGAAGCCCAGCAGAAAUCCCAGACUCCAGUCACCAAGACCCUAAGGAAGGCUGACUGUUCUGGGUAGGACCCACCAGCCACACACCCCCGUGGAGAGAGAUUGCUGGUUCCUCUGCUUUGACUUGCUUCGUUCUCUGAUUUAGUGAUCACUCUCAUAUAGACUAACAGGGGUCUUGACUUGAGUUCAUGUGUCAAUCCAUUCUGUAGACUGAGAUUUUGUUAGUUUUAGAUUUGAUGUGAUCUGUUUUAUUCACUGUCAUGUUUGCUUUGACGCUUCAGUUGUGUAAUAAUGGAUUCAAAUAAAGAUGUAUUUUUGCAAUGCA